rnacentral:rRNA from 1 species
UGGGGAAUAUUGCACAAUGGGCGCAAGCCUGAUGCAGCCAUGCCGCGUGUAUGAAGAAGGCCUUCGGGUUGUACAGUACUUUCAGCGAGGAGGAAGGCGGUAAGGUUAAUAACCUUAUCGAUUGACGUUACUCGCAGAAGAAGCACCGGCUAACUCCGUGCCAGCAGCCGCGGUCAUACGGAGGGUGCAAGCGUUAAUCGGAAUUACUGGGCGUAAAGCGCACGCAGGCGGUCUGUCAAGUCGGAUGUGAAAUCCCCGGGCUCAACCUGGGAACUGCAUUCGAAACUGGCAGGCUAGAGUCUUGUAGAGGGGGGUAGAAUUCCAGGUGUAGCGGUGAAAUGCGUAGAGAUCUGGAGGAAUACCGGUGGCGAAGGCGGCCCCCUGGACAAAGACUGACGCUCAGGUGCGAAAGCGUGGGGAGCAAACA